rnacentral:rRNA from 1 species
AACGAACGCUGGCGGCAGGCUUAACACAUGCAAGUCGAACGCACCGCAAGGUGAGUGGCAGACGGGUGAGUAACACGUGGGGAUCUGCCCAAUGGUACGGAAUAGCUCCGGGAAACUGGAAUUAAUACCGUAUGUGCCCUUCGGGGGAAAGAUUUAUCGCCAUUGGAUGAACCCGCGUCGGAUUAGCUAGUUGGUGUGGUAAAGGCGCACCAAGGCGACGAUCUGUAGCUGGUCUGAGAGGAUGAUCAGCCACACUGGGACUGAGACACGGCCCAGACUCCUACGGGAGGCAGCAGUGGGGUAUAUUGGACAAUGGGCGCAAGCCUGAUCCAGCCAUGCCGCGUGAGUGAUGAAGGCCCUAGGGUUGUAAAGCUCUUUCGCCGACGAAGAUAAUGACGGUAGUCGGAGAAGGAGCCCCGGCUAACUUCGUGCCAGCCGCCGCAGUAA